rnacentral:lncRNA from 1 species
AUUGCAAAAGCUUGUUUAUAGUCAACUCAACAAACGAAUAUAUAGACAUAAUACCCAUCAGAAUAAAGGUACGCUAAAUUUCAUAAUUCAUAAUUUAGGUUAGUACGUAAUGUUUGGAUACCCACUCGAAAUAUUGUCUUCUCGUUUAUUUAUUUACAAAAAUAUGUAUGGCCACAUGAUCAAAAGUUUAUAAGUAGAAAACAAAACAAUAUUAUUUUCAAACCCAAAAGGAUGCAAUACUACAAGCAUAUUACUAAAAUGACACAUAUUGCCUAUGUAUCAAGUAACAUUAUUCACGUUUAAAUUGAGAUAUCUAUUUCAACCAAAAAUAAACACGGGUAAACAUAAUAAAGGUGUUACAAAACAAUACACUUACGUAAUUUUCUCCUAUUAUAGUAAUAUGAUAAAGGAUGACAACAAUCUCCCAUCAAUAUACUUGAUACCUUAAGUUUACAAAUAUUCUCUAUAAAGAACGAUAAAUGACCGAUUCGAAACAUCUUGUGUCAGAAUGAACUAUCAUUUCAUCAGUGAAAUAUGCCAUUCGGAAAAAUUGUAUUGAGAUUUUAUCAUUCAGUGGUCUCUUCUUUUGAUUUUGAAAAUUUGAAAUAUAUAUUCCCAAAAACCUUCAUCACAAUCUGUACAAAUUACUGCAAUAGAAUCAAAACGCUAACCAAUACUAUUACCCAAUUGACAGAUCGACUACAUUGUUUCAUUGCACAUCUACUUUAACUUUUAACAGCUUUGCCAGGAUUGUUAUUGGAAGGAUCUAGUUCUUGAUGGCUUUUAUACAAGAUAUGAUACUUCGAUGUAUUUAAUGAGGAAUAACAUUAUUUUAAGCCACAGACAAACAACAAUUAGCCAACUAUUGUACAAAAAAGCGGUUUUCAAGCAAUUGUACAAAUAAAGUAUCCUGUUACCC